ensembl:misc_RNA RN7SKP28 RN7SK pseudogene 28
AGAUGUGAGGGUGAUCUGGCCGUGACAUCUGUCACCCCAUUGAUUGUCAGGGUUGACUCAGCUGAUCUGGCUGGCUAUGCGGGUGUCCCCUUCCUCUCUCACUGCUCCAUGUAUGUCCCUCCCAAAGCUGCACGCUUGGUUGAAGAGGACGACCAUCCUCGAUAGAUCCGAGGACUGGUCUUCGGUCAAGUGUAUACAAGUAGCUGUGCUCCCCUGCUAGAACCUCCAAACAAGCUCUCAAUAUCAUUGGGGACCAAUGUAAACUUUAACCUCAGACUGACAGCAAAUAGCUGGAGAGAUUCCGG